rnacentral:rRNA from 1 species
CCUACGGGGGGCAGCAGUGGGGAAUAUUGGGCAAUGGGCGCAAGCCUGACCCAGCAACGCCGCGUGAAGGAAGAAGGCUUUCGGGUUGUAAACUUCUUUUGUCAGGGAAGAGUAGAAGACGGUACCUGACGAAUAAGCCACGGCCAACUACGUGCCAGCAGCCGCGGUACUACGUAGGUGGCCAGCGUUGUCCGAAUUUACUGGGUGUAAAGGCCGUGUAGCCGGGUUGACAAGUCAGAUGUGAAAUCCUGCGGCUUAACCGCAGAACUGCAGUUGAAACUGUUGAUCUUGAGUACUGGAGAGGCAGACGGAAUUCCUAGUGUAGCGGUGAAAUGCUGAGAUAUUAGGAGGAACACCAGUGGCGAAGGCGGUCUGCUGGACAGCAACUGACGGUGAGGCGCGAAAGCGUGGGGAGCAAACAGGAUUAGAUACCCGGGUAGUC